UGUGAGACACCUGGACAGAAAGUGUAAGAAUGGCGUGGUGCUUGAUGUACGAGAGAUAAGGCAGACGGCAUGAAGCGGUUGUGUGAAUAUGGACACUGUUUGUGCGCUCUCUCUAGCAGGGAAUAUUAAUUGGGACAAAUGGACUGGAUUUAGUCGGCUUCCAAUCGACGGGGGACGCUCGGAAUAGGGUGGAAGUAGAAUGCGAAUGCGUGUAUUUUUUGGGACUCUUUUUGUGUGUGUUUGUGUAUCUGGGACGCCGGUGCCCACGGACUGAACUUCCAGUGACGGGAGGGUCUCAAUUGCUGCCAGACGGAGGGAAGUUAGGCCAUUGUUUUAACGUGUUUUCAUGAACUCCGAAUUCGGAGAGGGAUAGCCUCUAAGAUUUAGUGUUAGAAAUCGUGGGUGGGUUUUUUGGGAAAUGUUUUUAAAUGUGCUGACUAGCUGAUUUACCCUGAUUAAUUAUUGUUUGCAGUGAUAUACCACGACUAGUUUGCAGUGUCUAUUAAAGUAGUUUAGCAAAUGUGUGCUUAUUUAUAAUUCCCCUUUUGGGCUUUUGGUUGUGUGCAAUACUGUGUGUGGUUAAGGCUUAGUGCAAUAAUUCUGAUAACGCACCCGAAUUCCUGCCGAUUGGCAAUCUAUUAUUCUAUGAUGAAUAAUAAACAGGUUAUAUUUGUACUACAACUUCUCUGACUGCUGGUCUUGUGUGGAACUUGGGACAACAGCUGGACCAUACCGGUUUAAAAAAAGAAUCAAGACGUUGGUUUGGUCUGAUGGACUUCUCUGCUGCAUCAGCCAACAGUUGGACAUGGGUCAUCCACAUAAAGGCAGCCUGUGGUGGAUGCCUCUGGAUCACCAUUUACGGACCUUGUGAAGGAGCUCUUGGAAUGAAGCCCCCCUGAGCCUUUUGGUGGUUGAUGCCUCAGCCAUGUCUUCAGUUCCUGCACCAUUCGCCCUCUAGGGAGAGUAGACGGGAGUUGACCAGGGGCUGUGAAUGAGGAAGGUGUCUGCUCUGAGUCCUGGUGUGCGGUGUCUCCACCUUGCUGUUUUCCUCAUGUUGCAGGGUCCUGGAGGCUUUGGAAGACUGAGCCCUGGGUAAGCACAUUUACUGUUUUUGUAUUCUGUAUGCCAAUCUGUGAUGUAAAGAUUCUGCCAAAUGAUCCAGCUGAUUAUACCCCUUCCGUUCCAUUAUCUUCUGAGGUUGGCUAUGCUUCUGUGUGGUCUGUCUGACCUGAAUUUUUAAAUGUUGCAUUCAAACUGAGUUGCCCUCGACGCUUGCCUUGGUGAAUGUCUAACCCGAUCAUGGUUCUCUUCUGUUACCGAGUCCCGGAGGCUUUUGAAGACUGAGCCCAGGGUGCUGUGGACAUUGUUGCUGUUGAAAAUGAGCAUCAGCAUUGGCCUGAACGUUUGACAUUCUGGUGUGAAACGCCCAGACUCUUUAUUAAAUAAAAACAUUUUAACUUACCCUUAUCUUGUGUUUUCAUUCAAUUUAG
ensembl:lncRNA